rnacentral:tRNA from 1 species
GGGCCCGUAGUUCAGUGGCAGAAUGCCUCGUUUGCAACGAGGAGGUCAGCGGUUCAAAUCCGCUCGGGUCCACAA